CUGAAGAUGUUACACCUCUGAAUCACUCCCCCUUCUCCAGCCCUAGCUGCUGCUACCGCCAGUCUGUCGAUCCACUAUCGCCGUCUUUCCGUGUAACCACUGCCCCCAAGUCUCCAACCCCUGCUCUCUUCUUCCGCGAACUCUCGGGUCUCUCACUCUCCUCUCUUCCAUGAUACCCCGCACAUGCCGCUCCCCCACCGUCACUCUUGCAUGGAGGAAGACAUGUCGCUGUGCUCGCACGAAGGAAGACACGUCGCCGUCACGCUCAUAUAGAGGAAGAAUCAUCGCAAACACCGUGUUUCCUCUUCCUCUCUGUCAAGUCGUCAUCCGUUUCUCAGGUGUGCCGCUGUCUGCUUCUAAGCUGACCUCCUCGCCGCGGUCCUUGUCGUCCGCGAUCCUCACACCGCGUCCUCCAUCUUAGGGUGGCAGGUUAGAUUUAGGUGGCGAUAGCUUUGAGCCUGCAGCUAUGGAAGAAUGAGGUUUCGGAACUUCUAGUUUGUGUUAAAUCAUGUGGAUUGUACAGCUGCUACUUCGAGGAACCUUCAUUCUUUUUUUUUUGGUGGCGAAACCUUCAUUCUUUUUUUUUGUGGCGAAACCUUCAUUCUUUUUCUUUGUUGCUUGGACAAAUUUAAACCAGAGUUGGAAAUGGUUUGAUAUGUUUUCGAUGUAAUUUUUUUAUUUAUUAAUGUCAUCAAUGAAGAAAGGAUUUUGAUUUCUCUUAUAGCAAACUUUGAAAGCAAAAGCUUUAGUUCAUUAAAAUAUUUAAGUUUGUGGUUGAUGACAUUUCAUGUAGUGUUUUAAAUUUAGAAGAUAUUUUAAAGUUUAUAUUAGACUAUAAUUAUAUUUUAGAGUGUUUAUUUAUAUUUUAUUUAUUAUUUUAAUAUAAAACAGUUUUUCGGUUGGACUAUGGUUGAACCGGUUUAACCAUUAAAUCAGUGAACCAGUGACUAGAGCGGUUUGAUAAUCGGUCCGAUUUUCAGAACCUUGGUCCAGACUAGUUUUCCAAACCUUGAUUUAGAUAUUUGCAUCUCUUAUCCUCCUAACUUUCUCAGCUUCUUUCUUUACUGUAGCAUUGUUUUGUUUCUUUCAGAGGCAAGGUUCUUGUCCUAGAAUCCUAGAUUGCCGAUUCCAAUGUUUAUUGGACUGAAGAAUCAUCUUUCGAUACAAUGGUGAUGUUGAUAUAGUGAGUAGUUUUGAAUCUGUUGGUUUGGUCUGUAUUGUGUUGUUUUGGAACAUUGAUGAGCACAGAUAUUGCAAAAUCUUUCUACAAACAAACAAAGGAAAAUCACCAUCUUUCUUCCAAAUUCCAAUUUCCUUUCCUUUACUCUUGUUUCAGUAUUUCCUUUAAAACAAACAGUAUCAGUGCCUCAUUUCUUUCUUCAUAAUACCGAACCAUUAGAAUCUAGCCUGACUUAGGGAUAAAGGAAAAAGAAAAAGAGAAUUCGAUCAAAACCCUUGCUUCCUUGAUGGUCAUGGCUGCGAUUCGGAGUAUCAACACAGUGGCAGAUGCUAUGCUCCAACUCACCAGAUUCUCUCUUCAAGCCCCAAAAUUGGUGGAGGUGGAAUUUGCCGAUGGUCGUGUAUUCAAGUUGUUGGCUGAGUUUCUAAGAAUAAACAGUCCUGCAGUUGAUGGAAAAACCAGAUCAAUUGGAGGUGAAAAGGUAAUAUUGGGGAGACGGCACAUGGGAAUCAUGUCUGCAGAACCGAUUGUGAACUAUGGGUUGCAGAAUUGGAUUGUUCAGGCUUAAUUUUGAUGACUUGCACAAGACCGAAAUCUAUUCGUGGGAUUAUUUCUAUCACCUGGGAAGUAACAAGUUUACCCUCAUGAGAAAUUACAUCAAAACACUGAAGAAAUAUAGGCUAAGCCUGGAUCCACGCAGGAAAAAAUGAUGCAGGCCUGCGCUUCUUGAUUGGCCAAAACUGGUUUGAAAUUGUGUCAGUUAACAUCAUGAAACUUGUUCAUAAGGCAAGUAUUGGAUGGAAGAAGUGAGGAGAAAAGCAUGUAAAGUGGGAGAACUCAUGAAGAAAUGAAGGAACCGUAAAGUUGUCAACCUUGACCUCUUCGCACUCAAUCGAUCAUAACUUGAGCUACAGAGGUCUAAAUGAGGCGUUUUUAGUUGCGUUGGAAAGCUAACAGCUGGGGCUUCAAAAUGAUAUAAAAUUUGUCAUAGUUGCUUUGCGUUUAGAGACACGUACGCACACUGUAUGCAUACACGUCGAUGUUGCAUGUGAUUCACUAAAAAGCAACUCGUGGCCAACGAUUUCUAGCUCAUUUUUUGGGCCAAAUCCAACUCAUUUCUGAUGCUAUUGAACUCAAGGAUUGAAGGGGGAAUGAACCAAGUAGUCAUAGUGGAGUUUUCAUCAUGUUUUAGGGUAGAAUUCUAGAGAGAGAAGCUUUCCCCUCUCUCUAGAUUUAGGAUAGAAAUUAGGGUAAAGUUAGGUUAAUCUCUCUCAAAUUCAUCUUUCAAUUCUUAUUUUGAUUUCAAUUCUCUUGAUAUUUUAGUGUUCUAUUGUCUUGAUCUUCUUAAUUUUACUUGUUAAUUUAUUUUUUGGACAUCUUUAUUGUUGAUGAACUCUCAUG